rnacentral:rRNA from 1 species
UACGAAGGGGGCUAGCGUUGCUCGGAAUUACUGGGCGUAAAGGGCGCGUAGGCGGACAGUUUAGUCAGAGGUGAAAGCCCAGGGCUCAACCUUGGAAUUGCCUUUGAUACUGGCUGUCUUGAGUUCGGGAGAGGUGAGUGGAAUGCCGCGUGUAGAGGUGAAAUUCGUAGAUAUUCGGCGGAACACCAGUGGCGAAGGCGACUCACUGGCCCGAUACUGACGCUGAGGCGCGAAAGCGUGGGGAGCAAACAGG